UACGGAGGGUGCAAGCGUUGCUCGGAAUCACUGGGCGUAAAGCGCACGUAGGCGGAUCUUUAAGUCAGAGGUGAAAUCCCAAGGCUCAACCUUGGAACUGCCUUUGAUACUGGGGAUCUCGAGUUCGGGAGAGGUGAGUGGAACUGCGAGUGUAGAGGUGAAAUUCGUAGAUAUUCGCAAGAACACCAGUGGCGAAGGCGGCUCACUGGCCCGAUACUGACGCUGAGGCACGAAAGCGUGGGGAGCAAACAGG
rnacentral:rRNA from 1 species